AGCUCCAAUAGCGUAUAUUAAAGUUGUUGUGGUUAAAAAGCUCGUAGUUGGAUUUCGGCGGGUAGUGGUUGGUUUGAAUUGAUUCAACACUGACUUUUUUACCCGUGUGUUUUGCCAGAAUCUUACGGGUGAUCUUUACCGAUUGUCCGUUGGAACUGGCAGGUUUACUUUGAAAAAAUUAGAGUGCUCAAAGCAAGCUUACUGCUUGAAUAGUUGCGCAUGGAAUAAUAGAAUAGGAAGUCGUUUCUAUUUUGUUGGUUUUCGGAAAUCGACAGAGGUGAAAUUCUUGGACCGUUUGAAGACGAACUAAGGCGAAAGCAUUUGCCAAGAAUGUUUUCA
rnacentral:rRNA from 1 species